rnacentral:rRNA from 1 species
GAGGCGAACCGGGGGAACUGAAACAUCUAAGUACCCCGAGGAAAAGAAAUCAACCGAGAUUCCGAAAGUAGCGGCGAGCGAAAUUGGACUAGCCCUUAAGCUUUACACGCGUUAGACGAACGGUCUGGAAAGUCCGACGAUACAGGGUGAUAGUCCCGUAGUUGACGAYGUGUGUUCAGUGAAAUCGAGUAGGGCGGGACACGUGAUAUCCUGUCUGAAUAUGGGGGGACCAUCCUCCAAGGCUAAAUACUACUGACUGACCGAUAGUGAACCAGUACCGUGAGGGAAAGGCGAAAAGAACCCCUGUGAGGGGAGUGAAAUAGAACCUGAAACCGUGUACGUACAAGCAGUAGGAGCAGGCUUUGUCCUGUGACUGCGUACCUUUUGUAUAAUGGGUCAGCGACUUAUAUUCAGUGGCAAGGUUAACCAUCUAGGGGAGCCGUAGGGAAACCGAGUCUUAACUGGGCGUUCAGUCUCUGGAUAUAGACCCGAAACCAGGUGAUCUAGCCAUGGGCAGGUUGAAGGUUGAGUAACAUCAACUGGAGGACCGAACCGACUAAUGUUGAAAAAUUAGCGGAUGACUUGUGGCUAGGGGUGAAAGGCCAAUCAAACCUGGAGAUAGCUGGUUCUCCCCGAAAGCUAUUUAGGUAGCGCCUCGGACGAAUACUACUGGGGGUAGAGCACUGUUAAGGCUAGGGGGUCAUCCCGACUUACCAACCCUUUGCAAACUCCGAAUACCAGUAAGUACUAUCCGGGAGACACACGGCGGGUGCUAACGUCCGUCGUGGAGAGGGAAACAACCCAGACCGCCAGCUAAGGUCCCAAAUUACUACUAAGUGGGAAACGAUGUGGGAAGGCUCAGACAGCCAGGAUGUUGGCUUAGAAGCAGCCAUCAUUUAAAGAAAGCGUAAUAGCUCACUGGUCGAGUCGGCCUGCGCGGAAGAUGUAACGGGGCUAAGUAGUAAACCGAAGCUGCGGCAAUAUACUUUUGUAUAUUGGGUAGGGGAGCGUUCUGUAAGCGGUUGAAGGUGUGUGGUAACGCAUGCUGGACGUAUCAGAAGUGCGAAUGCUGACAUGAGUAACGAUAAAGGGGGUGAAAAACCUCCUCGCCGGAAGACCAAGGGUUCCUGUCCAACGUUAAUCGGGGCAGGGUAAGUCGACCCCUAAGGCGAGGCCGAAAGGCGUAGUCGAUGGGAAACGGGUUAAUAUUCCCGUACUUCUUACAAUUGCGAUGGGGGGACGGAGAAGGCUAGGUGGGCCUGGCGACGGUUGUCCAGGUUCAAGUGCGUAGGCUUGAGAGUUAGGUAAAUCCGGCUCUCUUUAAGGCUGAGACACGACGUCGAGCAYCUACGGRUGUGAAGUCAUUGAUGCCAUGCUUCCAGGAAAAGCCUCUAAGCUUCAGAUUGUAAGGAAUCGUACCCCAAACCGACACAGGUGGUCGGGUAGAGAAUACCAAGGCGCUUGAGAGAACUCGGGUGAAGGAACUAGGCAAAAUGGUACCGUAACUUCGGGAGAAGGUACGCUCUCGACGGUGAAGUCCCUCGCGGAUGGAGCUAUUGAGAGUCGCAGAUACCAGGUGGCUGCAACUGUUUAUUAAAAACACAGCACUGUGCAAAAUCGUAAGAUGACGUAUACGGUGUGACGCCUGCCCGGUGCCGGAAGGUUAAUUGAUGGGGUUAGACUUCGGUCGAAGCUCUUGAUCGAAGCCCCGGUAAACGGCGGCCGUAACUAUAACGGUCCUAAGGUAGCGAAAUUCCUUGUCGGGUAAGUUCCGACCUGCACGAAUGGCGUAAUGAUGGCCACGCUGUCUCCACCCGAGACUCAGUGAAAUUGAAAUCGCUGUGAAGAUGCAGUGUACCCGCGGCUAGACGGAAAGACCCCGUGAACCUUUACUACAGCUUGGCACUGAACAUUGACCCUACAUGUGUAGGAUAGGUGGGAGGCUUUGAAGMMSGUACGCCAGUAUSKKUGGAGCCGUCCUUGAAAUACCACCCUUGUAGUGUUGAUGUUCUAACGUCGACCCCUUAUCGGGGUURCGGACAGUGCCUGGUGGGUAGUUUGACUGGGGCGGUCUCCUCCCAAAGAGUAACGGAGGAGCACGAAGGUGGGCUAAUCACGGUUGGACAUCGUGAGGUUAGUGCAAUGGCAUAAGCCCGCUUGACUGCGAGAAUGACAAUUCGAGCAGGUGCGAAAGCAGGUCAUAGUGAUCCGGUGGUUCUGAAUGGAAGGGCCAUCGCUCAACGGAUAAAAGGUACUCCGGGGAUAACAGGCUGAUACCGCCCAAGAGUUCAUAUCGACGGCGGUGUUUGGCACCUCGAUGUCGGCUCAUCACAUCCUGGGGCUGAAGUCGGUCCCAAGGGUAUGGCUGUUCGCCAUUUAAAGUGGUACGCGAGCUGGGUUUAGAACGUCGUGAGACAGUUCGGUCCCUAUCUGCCGUGGGCGUUGGAAGAUUGAAGGGGGCUGCUCCUAGUACGAGAGGACCGGAGUGGACGAACCUCUGGUGUUCGGGUUGUGUCGCCAGACGCAUUGCCCGGUAGCUAAGUUCGGAAUCGAUAACCGCUGAAAGCAUCUAAGCGGGAAGCGAGCCCUGAGAUGAGUCUUCCCUGAUACUUUAAGUAUCCUAAAGGGUUGUCGGAGACUACGACGUUGAUAGGUCAGGUGUGUAAGUGCUGUGAGGCAUUGAGCUAACUGAUACUAAUUGCCCGUGAGGCUUAACCAUACAACACCCAAGGGGUUU